UACGUAGGGUGCAAGCGUUGUCCGGAAUUAUUGGGCGUAAAGAGCUCGUAGGCGGUUUGUCGCGUCUGCUGUGAAAAUCCAGGGCUUAACCCUGGACCUGCAGUGGGUACGGGCAGACUAGAGUGCGGUAGGGGAGAUCGGAAUUCCUGGUGUAGCGGUGAAAUGCGCAGAUAUCAGGAGGAACACCGGUGGCGAAGGCGGAUCUCUGGGCCGUAACUGACGCUGAGGCGCGAAAGCGUGGGGAGCAAACAGG
rnacentral:rRNA from 1 species